rnacentral:rRNA from 1 species
UACGUAGGAGGCGAGCGUUUGUCCGGAAUUAUUGGGCGUAAAGAGCUCGUUAGGCGGUUUGUCGCGUCUGCUGUGAAAGACCGGGGCUCAACUCCGGUUCUGCAGUGGGUACGGGCAGACUAGAGUGGCAGUAGGGGAGACUGGAAGUUCCUGGAUGUAGCGGUGAAAUGCGCAGAUAUCAGGAGGAACACCGAGUGGCGAAGGCAGGUCUCUGGGCUGUAACUGACGCUGGAGGAGCGGAAAAGCAUGGGGGAGCGAACAG